AUGAUUCUACUUGUAUCCCCCCCAUAAAACAUUUAAAAAUAGUUUAAAACAUUAGUUAAGGGGUAUGAACUCACCUGCAGUAAGUGACUGGAAUUGAACGGACUGUUAUCGUACAGAAGGAUCGGACAAGUGCUUGGUGUCAAGUGAAGACUUAGACACACACAAUGAUCCUAAUUACAUAUGAAAACAUAUGUAUAUAAAUAAUUAGUGAUUAAAACACUAAUUAUACAAGUAAUAACAUUUAAGCGCGAGGAAAACACUUUUGGUCAAGUGCUAGGAGGCUAAUGGGUUGCAACAAAGGAGUGCAAUGCCCCUAAUGGGAGUUUAAGGUCUAAUGACCAUAUUCUUUGGAGUUUACGGCCCAGGGGAGUAAACUCCUGGCCGUAAACUCUCAACCAAGGCCCUAAAUGAAGCUUAGAAUUAUUACAACUCAUGUGGUGAAUUGUUUCAAGGCUAUAACAAGUGUUUGGGUGUCAUAUUAACUCCUUUGGGGAGUUUACGGCCCAGAGACCACAUUCCCUUGGAGUUUACGGCCGUAAACUCCCUUGGGAGGGUUUUUAUGGUGCUUUCAAGUCUCUAAUUUAACUAGGAACAAUUCUAGGCUUUUGUACUUGGCUUUAGAAGAGUUUAUGGCACCAUUUGGCACCAUUUUAUGGAGUUUACGGCCUUAGAACCUUUUGGGCCGUAAACUCCCUUACUCUUGGUGUUCUAAGUGUGUUAACUAGUCCAAAACUCAUUUAGGUACAUGCCCAAAUUGGUCUCUUGGCUUAAGGAAGGAGUUAGGGUGUCAUUUGACCCCUUUAUAGGUGUUUACGGCCCAAGAGUUUGUCUUGGCCGUAAACUCCUUUUUCCUUGUGAUUUCUUAUGUUUGCUAGGCUAUAAACACUUUAGGGUACUUGUCCUAAUUUAAUCUUAAGCCUUAGGAAGUGUUUCAAAGCAUUUUGGUACUUAAAACAUGGAGUUUACGGCCUAAGAAGCUCCUUGGCCGUAAACUCCCUUCUAGUCAUGGAUCCUAAUUGUUUUGUGGUAUAAGGCAUGAAUUAGAGGCUCCUAGUUCGAGUUCUAAAGCCUUUAGGGUCAUUGGAACACUUUAGGACCUUAAAAUGGAGUUUACUCCCCAAGAACGUUCUUGGGCGGUAAACUCUCGGAUCUUACAUAUUUGGCAUGUAAUAUAUGUUAAUAAGCUUAUAACAAGUAUUAUAAACAACUAGAGAAGUAUACUCACGAUUUGGGAUGAAAACCCGAAGAUCCAUGAGAGAGAAUAUUGACUUUUCUCUAACUGGAAUUCAACUAAUGAACCAAUUUGGUUCAGAAUUCUAUUUAUAGUCCUGAGAUUUUUGGCAGAAAAUAUUUCUAUUCUCGGAAUGAACUCUAAUGUCCUAGAGUAUUGGAAUUACAGUGUUGCACCAAAACCUUAGUGCAUCCACUCUCCUAAUAUUUCCUUAGGUGUAAAAUCCUGAAAACUGCCAAACUUAUACUCGAAAUCCGAGUUUUUACUGUAACUGUUCUACAUCUAUUGGCUUGAUAUGGUUUGUUCAGAAUGGAAAUUUCGGGUUGUCACAUCAUCCCCCUAUUGAAGGGAAUUUCGUCCCGAAAUUAGAAUUUAAGCAAGGAAGUAUGCACUAAAGAUCGAGUCGUGAGGAGGAAACUCCCUAAUCGAUUUGUUUCUAGCGCACCUACUGAAAUCGGGUUCUAGGUUGGCAUUCCAACGAACCUUCACUAAUUGGCGACGGCGUUGCUUCGUCCGCUUGACCUCUCGGUCGAGGAUCACUACGGUUCUAAUACGAAGGCGAGGAUCUCGACGAGUGGACUUGCAAGAGUCCUAACGGAAAGGCAUGGUUUCACGAUCGAGAUGCGAAGAGUAGAAUGUACGUUACUGAGUUCGCGGAGUAGAUCUAGNACAGAUUCUGAUAAGAAUCUCGGAGGUCCUGUCUAACUUGGAUUUAGCUUUUCACGCUUUACGAAGCGUAUAAAGCCAUUCCCCAAGUGAGUUAUCCUAAAGAACUUGGUCACUCACUUGGAAUUCUCAAAGGUUCCUUUUCUUGCGUAACUUCCCAGUUAAAGGCCACCCCUUGCUGGGUCAUAGUCGAACGAGUUUCUGUAAUUUGCGAGGAGUUCUGAAUGAACUAAGACGGUAGGUCGGUAAGACCUAGUAUUUGGCGAAAGACUGUCGGUGUCUCUGGUGUCGACAAAUACUCAACGGCUUUUACAAAUUUAAAGAGUGCUCAUAAUUCCUCACAUUACUAACAGUGUGUCAUAGAAAUUUGACUCUUCAAUUUCAAAACUCGUGCCUAGAGAACUUCGCUAAAGUUCCUCUGUAGGAAAUGUUUCCCUGGGUUUUCUUUUUACUACAAGGGUAGAUAAGUAAGUCAUUACGUGGAGAAAUGACGAACUGAUCCAAGUAAGAAAGACGUAACCCUAUUCAUUUAGCUCAUGAAAACUAUGGGCGUAUUGGUCCUAUCCGAGGGGUAUCACUACGGACUCGAAGUGUCCGCAUCGAGUUCAGGAGAUAGUCUUCCGGACAUCUUUCCCUAACACUCGAACUGGUGAUAUUCGGAUNNNNNNNNNNNNNNNNNNNNNNNNNNNNNNNNNNNNNNNNNNNNNNAUAACGAUUUCUAAUGAAAAAUCUUGACGGAGUCCUCGAUAUCCGAGGCACAUACGAUGCAAUCCGUCGAUCUCUGGGAGAAUAUGACCGGGGUUCUCUAGGGUGAGAAGCCUAGCCUUCUAAUUCUCUUUCUGUGUAGUUUGUUAAGUUGUUAGUACUGUUCUGGUAUCUCCGUAGGUGUUUAAGCUUUAGGGCGAUCCGUUUACGGGAGUCGUACUGGGUUCUAAGUUUGUUCACAUGACGAUGUGAUUACUCGUAGUCUUGAGCAGUUCUCUGUCAUGAAGUUCAUAUUAGAAUUCAUACAUGGUUUCACAAUCACAACUUCAGGUAUACGAGUCGUAUAUAAUUAAGAUUGAAAAGGUAGUCGAAUAACUGAUUCUUCUUUAAGCUCACAUCCCAUCGGGAAAAAGAAGUUAAAGUGGAAUCAUCAAUUCUAAACCUAUAGAAGCUUGAUUAUAUAUCACUCUUAUGUAUAGCUUCCUCAGUGAUAGAUCAAUCGUAUGAAUCCUUGGAUUGAACUUGACGUACUGCACGAGUGGUACUUCGAGGAUUUCUUCGGAAAGAAAAUAACUAAGAGGUACUCCUGGCAUGAGUACUUCAGCGUUCUGAUGUGACGGUUUCACUGGAAAAGUGAUCUAGAAGAAAGAGAUGUACGUAUGAAGCUGUUUUUGUGAGGAUCAAAUUGAGUCGAGUCGUAUGAUAAUGUCGGAAUCACACUGAAACUUAAAGACAUUAGACUUGAACAUAAGACGUUUACAGACAAAACACAACCGUGCAACCAUGAACAGAGUUACAGUACUUUAGAUUUACCACAAGACUAUUGCUGCGAAUAAGAUAUACUACAAAAGACAAGUAUACGCAGCACGAGACUCCCUAUACAGACAGGAUCUCGCAAAAGGUAAGACUCUAGUUGCACUAGUUCUAGAUAGUUCAUAAGUCUGUUACAACGAAACGCCUUAAUUACAUUAACGUGGUUCCGGAGUAGGCUCUCCUGCAGCUGUGAUCCUGAGAAUCUUCCCGUCUGCGCCAGAGUUCUUUGCUAUCGGGCAAUCUUCCUUGAAGUGCCCUAUCUCACCGCAUUGGUGGCAUGACUGGCUAGUACUAGCUUUGGUGACGGGAUUGUGGUGUAUAGCCAAUGUUAUGUGGACACGAGUGCCUUCCUCGUUACUCCACUUUGAAAAUUGCUUCUUAAAUCGUUCGACGUUAUAACUAAUCUUGUGUGCAGGGUUAGUCCCGAUGAAAGGGACUUGAGUGAUGGGUCGCGCCGGUGCUCCACAGUCACGAGCAUGGUGCCCUAUGUUUAGGCAAUUGCAACACUGCAUCUCAUGGCAAGCCCCAUGAUGAUGGAAACUACACCUAUCACACUUCGGGAGUUUUCCCUCGUAUGGCCUGCUCGGUACGGGAACGGCAGGGGUUUCCACUUGCUGCUGUUGUAUAGCCAGCUUUUGGGAUCUCUUGCGUUCUUUCCGGGCUUGACGCUUUCGUUUCUUGUUUUCUGUUUUUCGGCUUUGCGAGCCUGUGACUGUUACUGUUUGGCGACCUCCUGGAUGGAUACCACGAUUGGAAACUUCAUUCCCAUCAGUAGCAUUGACUGUGCUAUUAGCGGUACGGUGCGCAAGGACCGCGGUUACGGCAGCCACCAUGGCAGCUGUAACUGCUGUUUGAAAGGUAGCGGCGUCCAUAGGAAAAGCGGAGGUUUCCCUGUUCGACUGAUUGCUUCCGGAUGAUGACAUGAUUCUGUAACACGAAAGAUAAGGAUUUUGUGAGCGAUUCUGGUUGACCCUGAUGUACUUAGAUUGUUCAUGUAAAGAGUACGACUAUGUUCUCGAAAGUUUGACCUACAUCCCUAUGAUGCAGUCCUAGUACAGAAUGAAAGUAUGUUCGCGAAGGUUUGACCUACAUCCCUAUGAUGCAGUCCUAGUAAUGAGUAGAGGUAAGUUCGUAGAAUGGUCUCAAGACGUUUGUUGUACAAGUUGAGGUAUCGUGGGUUGGUGAAUAACAAGAUCCAACCACUGAAAGAGACUUGGAAAUGUCUCCGGAGAUAAAUCACUAUAGUCCAAUGACUUGACUAAAGCAUGUUUCGGAUAGACCCCAAUGAAAGAAUGAUAAGAGUACUUGAAUGAAGAAUGACACAGAAGUUAGCUGGCUGUCAAUACCUUUGAUAUUCACGAUGUAAAGAUUCUGGAAAAUGACCUUGUAAAAGUCUUACAUCAUAUCCACAGAAGAUAGUUCCUGACAGCAUAAAGACCUAACUAAAGUACUUACGGUACAAGAUAAUUUCAAAGAAAAUGCCACAUCGGGCAUUGCCAGGAAACAUGAUUCCUUUCUAAUAAAGAAAUAAAGUAAAGCGUCUACUACCGGCGACGGUCAUCUUUCUGGUGAACUCUCAGUUCAGCCAGUUGACGUUCCAUGUCAAGUAGGUGUCUUUCGCACACCAUCUGGCGUACUCGGAGCUCUAUGACUUCGGCUCGUGAUUCAGCCAGUGCUUGCAGCAGGGUUUCAUGGUUUCUCUCUGAUCCCUCGUGAGCAUCUUCUAGACGAAUGGUGCGGAGGGUAUGCAUUCUCGCAUGGGCGACAACUUCGGUAGUCUGAUGUAAGGCUGUCUUGCCUUGAAUCUCAUUUCGGGCCACUCUGAGGACCAAGAUUAGCAAGACUCUAUCUGCUGAGCCCCCAUUGCUCAUGUNCCAUUAAAUGGCAUAGGCUGAUCUUGUCCUUGGCUCCAUGUUUCCAAGCAUUCCACUCACUCAGGGUCGGGCCAUGAAAAGCCGGACGAGGGUUAGGAAUUGGAAAGGGAGUUGCUCGGGGUAGGUUCUCAACCUCUGGUUCGGAGUUAGCAUCAUACGAAAGGUCUUCAUCAUGGGGAUCAUUCAAGGGGAUAGGAUGAUCAUUAUCUGGUUCUUCUCCAACCCAACCAGCUAUGACUUCAUUCGGAAGAUAUUGGUUUGUCGAGGGGAUGGAGUCCAGCUAUGUUUUCUAUGCGAGAAUUUAGAGUAAGAGAAUAAUUAUUAGAGGAAGUAUCUAGAUAAUUUUUUAGAAAACCUUCAUCAGUUAUGUGACAACCCGAUAUUUCAACUCUUUGUAAUGACCUAAAAAGUCAAGUAUUGUAACCACUUUUGAGUUAAUAAAAUUAACUUUGAUAAUAAAAUGUCCAAAAAGUUCUAUUUAAAUUCCUUCUAUGUUUAAAUGUCAUUAAACCAUGAUCGUACGUAAAAAGAACGCCCAAAUCCGACUUCGUAUAUUGAAGUUAAGAUUUUUCCAAGUUCGGCUUAGCAACAGACAGCUAAAAACUCGAAUCGGAGAUCGAGCGACUUUUGGCCGGAAUGACCUAAACGAGAAUCGAAGGUCUCGACAAUGGUAUUUCAGCGGUGAAAAGUCUGGCAAAAACCGACGUCAGAUAAAGAAGUUAUGAAUUUUUAAAGAAAUUCCUUAAUCACGUCAUUUUAUAAAUAAAUAAUAAAAAUAAUUUCGGAAUUUGCCAACGGAGUCUAAACGAAAGUUGUAGAGCGUAGUCUCACCUACGCGUGGAUAUAAAGACCAUCGAAAACGGAGUUCGUAUGAAGAAGAUAUGAUUUUUUGAAGUUUAUUAAAUAAAUUAUAUAUAAAUUUAAUUCAAAAAUCCGGUAAUAUCCGAAGGAAGAGUCAGCGUCCUCAUCCGAGUUACGCGCCGCGUAACCUCGUACGCCCCACGUACCCGAAGGCCUUGGUCUCGGUCCGUCCGCGUCGCCCCUAUACGAACCUACCCGAUCCAUCCCAUCCGAAGCCAAGCAGUCGAGGAAUCGAUCACGGGUGACGCACGAGUACGCGCCGCGUACGAGCGUACGCCCCGCGUACCGAGGCUUCUCAGACCACUAUAAAUAGAGAUGCGAGGGUUCCCGGAAAUUCACCCCAUUUCUCUCAUUUCUCUCACGAUAUUGCCUCGAUUUCCGUGCCCGUUCAAACCCGAAGCCCUGGUCAUUUUGCUCAAGUCCCGAAGGUCGAUUUUACUCCCGAGAUUCCCAAGAAUCCCGAGAAAAAUCCGUUUCCCGAGACGAAACUCUGCCCGGUUUUCCAUCUCGCUAUCUUCAAACUUUCAAGUGAGUUCAUACCCCUUAAUUAACCCUUUUUAAAUAUUCUAAAUGUUUUUAUAUGCUUUCUAAGGGGGGGAAUUACAAGUAAAAUACACGACUACUAUCGGGUGUUAUAUAUAAAGAUUUUUAUACACUUUUAUUAAGUAGAAUCAUAUGUGAUUUAUAAACUUCAUAGGGAACUCUCAUAUACAAAAUAUAUUACCAUAGAAAUCCUAUCUUUAAAAAUAUAAAUUGUUGUAAUGCAUGUAUAAACUAAACAUUUUCCUAGAUUUAAUAAUGUAUAUGUGCCUAUCUUAGGCUCUACAAAAAUCUAUACUCUUAUAACAAAUGAUUCCUUUUCUAGGUAUUUCUAAACAAACAAGUCACACUUUUAGAAAACUAUAAUAGGUAUAGUUUUACGAGGAUAUUGCUAACUUUUACAUACUAAAAACAUGAUUUUCAAGAAGUCACUUUCAUAUACAAGGACAAACGAACAUUUUAGCACGUAAAUCUGUUUUUAUACCACGGUUUUGUGAGACAUUAACUUCACGUACGUUCGAGUACUCAUUUCAAGUCCUGUAUUAUAUACCAGAAUCCCUUGGAGGGGGAGCAUGGUGUUUGUGUAUAGAUCUAUACGGUCUUGACAACCCGCGCCCUGACUGUUAGCUACAGUCCACCAUUUGGGGUGACAAACGUCAUAACAUUCCAACGCCUGAAGAACGUUGUGUAUAGGCAUUACGAGUCAAUAAUAUGGUUAUAAAACUCACAUGAGGUAUUAAAAAUACAUUGAUUUACGAGGUUUUCAAACAUAUUGGUUAUUUUUACACUUACAUACAUUUUUGGAAACAAACUUUGGUCUUGAGAGGAGACUACUUUUAUAUUAUUAGAAAAUAUAGGAUUUUCUAAAAACAAACAAACAAGGACAAAACAUUUCAUUACAUACCAACAUUGUUAUUUAAAUACUUAUGAAACUCACCAGCUUAAAUGUUGAUCUACUCUUUCAAAAUUACUUGUAUGUCCCAGGGAUUUAGUAACUACAGGUAACAAUACGCUUUUGAAGAAGGGACGCUGUGGCGCCACUUAAAUCUCACAUUUUGACAUCAUAUUGUAAUUGGUUUUGAACAUGUACUUUUUGACAAAUGUAAACUUUCAAUUAUAUAUAUGUUGGUUGUAUUGCUUUCUUUACUAUGUAUUCAUUUGUUACGUUACUACAUGAAGUCAUCCGCCCCCGAACGUUUCUGCCGUUCAGGUUUGGGGGUGUGACAAGUUACAUUGCUAUUUGUGAAGUGCAUACCAGCUAUGUGUAAUCUAAACAGGAUAGACCUUCGAAUAAGUGACCUUAGUUCCAAAUUCACACAGAAUAGGAGUAAGGCAAAAUUAUCACAGAUUCUAAGUCUAUAACAUCCUAAUUACAUAUAGCCUUAGUGUAUCCACUUAGCAACUAUCAACUUAGUAAUGAAGAUCCCAUUUUAGUUCUCAAGUAUAAAGUACUUAUAGUAACACCAAAUACUCCUAUAGUAUUUUAAUUUUAAUGUUAUGUUCUAUUGUUCUCAUUGUGGUAGGGUUGGUAAGAUUUUAGCAUUGUUGCAACCACACACUUAAACUUAGGCACAUGCAAGUCAACCCUCGGAUAAUAUAGGUGAUCAGGCUAUAUCUUCCCAGUUUUGACCAUAUGUCUCUAAGCCCACUUGUGUUGCCCAACAAUCGUAAUUCUUUUGUACUGUCCUAGUGACACUGAUUUUAGUAUGAAUGCAGCACGUAUACUUACUUAAAUAUUUUACUAUUUAAAGUAUAAACUCUUGGUCAGAGUAUUUUUAAUCCCUUAUGUAUUUAUAGUUAGUAUAUCUUUUAUGGGUUGAUAUACUUAAUUCACUAUAAACAAUGCUCUGAUACCAAUCUGUCACACCCCAAAACCAAGAACGGCGGAAACGUUCUGGGGCGGAGGACGUCAUGUAUAAUAUCAACAACAAUGUAAAGUAGUAAACAAGCAACAACAUCAUCCAUUGCAUUAAUAAUAUAAUUAUUAUACAAAUGUGUUCUGUCAAAUUUUGAUAAACACUAAAGCAUAAAUCAAAAUGAAAGAUGAGUCUUGAACAAGCUCCAUCUUCCUUUCUCCUUGCAUCGGUACCUGUCUAUGAUGACCUGAGGAUACAAGUAAUUUUGAAAGCGAGACCCAACUGUUCUCAAUGUGUUCUGAAUGUAGUCUUCUACCAAGACCUAACUGUUCUCAAUGUUCGUUUCUUGUAAGAGUGUGUAAUUUUCCCAAGUGUAACUAUUAUUAACAAAAUAUAGUUUUUACAUUUAUAGUUUAAGUGAAAAUAUCACUAAAUAUAUGUACAUGGAAAAAUUAAUGUAGUACUAAAUGAAGCGCUAUAAGAACUACUGAUGUACUAAUUACCUUAAACCGGAUUUAUAUUAAGGCAUUAUGUGAUAAAUUGCACCAUACUCUCGACGGAUAACAACGACAUACGAAUGGUCGUAAUAACGGAAUGACGUUUGCCACCCGCAGACCUGCAGGUCCGGCUGUAGCUAGCAGCAAGGUGUAGGAUUGUCAAUCCAGUAUAGAUCUACACGCAAACUCACGCUCUCCCUACAAGAGACUCUGGCUACAACUCGAGUCAUGACAUGUAAGUCAUACUCCGAUUUAAAUCACAAUAAUUAUCGUACUCUCGUAUAUGUACUGUAAUGAACUGUUCUAACUGCAAUGUACGUGCUCUCUACCUAGCAAGUAUAGUAAUGUAAUGAACUGUUCUAACUGUAAUGUACGUACUCUCUACCUAGCAAGUAUAGUAAUGUAAUCAUCCUAGUAUAGUUGUAUAUGUAAUGUACUGUAAUGUUCUAGAAAGUAUUGACUCAUGAAUGAACUGACUCAUUGUAUGAUAUCGUGUUCUAGUAAUUGUUCUAGUAUCUUCCUAAACUACCCAUAUGGUAGUUUACUAGUAAUCUAACUGGUACGUAUGGACAUGGAUGUAUACCCUUGCUACCCAAGGGCAUGGGAUGAACUGGAAGGACCUUUUAUGACUAUAUAUGUACACAUGAUAUAUAACUAAUAUUUAAACGACCUUCGGACGAGUACCCGAUAUCCCACCAGACCACAUCUCAAGCGCGAAAAGGAAAUAGGGUGGAUAGCCUUCCUAAGUCUUUUAAACAUUUCUUAUAUAACUAUACAUAUAGAGGCAUGCAAUUUAUAAUAUAAAAGCAUAAAUAAGUUUUGUAAGACAUUUGAAACAUAAAUAUUAUUUUAAGAAAAGAUCGACUUGAUGUCAAUCUAUAAAACAAUUUGAAGGCAUAAGUUUGAUAAAACAGUUUAAGUAUAAGGAAACAUUUGUUUGAAACACAGUUGUAAAUAAGUUUGAAAGGUAAUGUACAGAGUAAGAUGUACAGUGUAAUAAGGAGUUUAAAACAUAUAAAAUGUUUAUAAAAAUCAUUUGAAGGAAACUGUUUGGUAAAACGGCUAAUGAGUAGCCAAAUCAUUUGAAUGUUGUAUAUUAAUCACAUGUGAUUGAUGUAAUAAGUAGCAUAAUUCUACUUAUUAAUCACAUGUGAUUGAUAUAAUAAGUAGCAUGAUUCUACUUGUAUCCCCCCCUUAAAACAUUUAAAAAUAGUUUAAAACAUUAGUUAAGGGGUAUGAACUCACCUGCAGUAAGUGACUGGAAUUGAACGGACUGUUAUCGUAAGGAAGGAUCGGACAAGUGCUUGGUGUCAAGUGAAGACUUAGACACACACAAUGAUCCUAAUUACAUAUGAAAACAUAUGUAUAUAAAUAAUUAGUGAUUAAAACACUAAUUAUACAAGUAUAAACAUUUAAACGCGAGGAAAACACUUUUGGUCAAGUGCUAGGAGGCUAAUGG
rnacentral:lncRNA from 1 species